rnacentral:rRNA from 1 species
AACGCUAGCUACAGGCUUAACACAUGCAAGUCGAGGGGAAACGACAUCGAAAGCUUGCUUUUGAUGGGCGUCGACCGGCGCACGGGUGAGUAACGCGUAUCCAACCUGCCCACCACUUGGGGAUAACCUUGCGAAAGUAAGACUAAUACCCAAUGACGUCUCUAGAAGACAUCUGAAAGGGAUUAAAGAUUUAUCGGUGAUGGAUGGGGAUGCGUCUGAUUAGCUUGUUGGCGGGGUAACGGCCCACCAAGGCGACGAUCAGUAGGGGUUCUGAGAGGAAGGUCCCCCACAUUGGAACUGAGACACGGUCCAAACUCCUACGGGAGGCAGCAGUGAGGAAUAUUGGUCAAUGGACGAGAGUCUGAACCAGCCAAGUAGCGUGCAGGAAGACGGCCCUAUGGGUUGUAAACUGCUUUUAUAAGGGAAUAAAGUGAGUCUCGUGAGACUUUUUGCAUGUACCUUAUGAAUAAGGACCGGCUAAUUCCGUGCCAGCAGCCGCGGUAAUACGGAAGGUCCGGGCGUUAUCCGGAUUUAUUGGGUUUAAAGGGAGCGUAGGCCGGAGAUUAAGCGUGUUGUGAAAUGUAGACGCUCAACGUCUGCACUGCAGCGCGAACUGGUUUCCUUGAGUACGCACAAAGUGGGCGGAAUUCGUGGUGUAGCGGUGAAAUGCAUAGAUAUCACGAAGAACUCCGAUUG